UUGGAGGGCAAGUCUGGUGCCAGCAGCCGCGGUAAUUCCAGCUCCAAUAGCGUAUAUUAAAGUUGUUGCAGUUAAAAAGCUCGUAGUUGAAUUUCGGGAUUAGUACGCUGGUCGUGCCUUCGGUACGUACUGGUGUUACUGAUUUCUACCUUCUGACGAACCAUCAUGUCAUUAGUUUGGUGUGGUGGGGAAUCAGGACUGUUACUUUGAAAAAAUUAGAGUGUUUAAAGCAGGCUCGCGCUUGAAUACAUUAGCAUGGAAUAAUGAAAUAGGACGUUGAUCCUAUUUUGUUGGUUUCUAGGAUUGACGUAGUGAUUAAUAGGGAUAGUUGGGGGCAUUAGUAUUCAAUUGUCAGAGGUGAAAUUCUUGGAUUUAUUGAAGACUAACUACUGCGAAAGCAUUUGCCAAGGAUGUUUUCAUUAAUCAAGAACGAAAGUUAGGGGAUCGAAGACGAUCAGAUACCGUCGUAGUCUUAACCAUAAACUAUGCCGACUAGGGAUCGGAUGAUGUUAUUUUUAAUGACUCAUUCGGCGCCUUACGGGAAAC
rnacentral:rRNA from 1 species